UCAGUAGCGGCGAGUGAAGCGGGAAUAGCCCAUCGCCAAAUCCCCGCGUCCCAGUGGCGUGUGGGAAAUGUGGCGUGAGGAAGCCGUGGCUUACUGGGGACGCGGAGCCGACGUCCUUGUGAAGGAGGCUUUAUCCCACAGAGUGUGUUAGGCCCCCACAGGCUCCCGUUGCCGGUGGCCUUAAGGCUUCUACGAGUCGGGUUGUUUUGGAAUGCAGCCCAAAGAAGGGUGGUAAACUCCAUCCAAGGCUAAAUACUAAGCACGAAACCUGAUAGUUUACAAGUACCAUGAGGGAAAGUUGAAAAGAACUUUGAAGAGAGAGUUCAAUAGGACGUGAAGCUGCUGAGAAGUAAACGGAAAGGCCCCGCACACCUUGGCCGGGAAAUUCAGCGCAAUUUGGAGAUUUCGGCGCCCUGUUCCGUCUGCGUAUUCUCUCACGAGAAACCUGGCGGAGUGGGUCGAAGCAGUCACCAAUCGCGCGCAUUUUUCCCGCGCCUAUGGGGUUGGCGACCGACCGUUACGGCCGAUUGGACGCGGCGAAGGCAGGUAGCUCAUCCCGUCUCGGCGGGAAGAGAACUUAUAGUCUCGCCGUCCGCGUCGGCUGCAAGGUCGAGGAAAGGUGACCACGUGCCGUGCCUGCUCGGGUCUUCGGACCCUGGGGCUGGAGCCGCCGGACUCCCGCUCGUACGGCGUACGGGGACUGUUCUCAGUGCCCGCUCGCCCGUGCGGUCGAGAAAGGCCGGAUCGCCUCUCAGGUUGCAUAGGGUCCGCCAACUUGGCCGGGCGCCUUUUCGACCCGUCUUGAAACACGGACCAAGAAGUCUAACGGACACGCAAGUCGAAGGGCCGUAUACGAAGCCCGAAGGCGCAAUGAAAGUAUAAGACGGUGUAGGCCGUCCGAGGUGGGAUCCCUUCCCUCUGGGUUGGGCGCACCACCGCCCCGUCUCGUCCGCUUUGCUCGGU
rnacentral:rRNA from 1 species